UGAGGGAUAUUGGUCAAUGGGCGAAAGCCUGAACCAGCGACGCCGCGUGGGUGAAGAAGGUCUUCGGAUCGUAAAGCCCUUUUCUGCGGGAAGAGAACAGGACGGUACCGCAGGAAGAAGUCUCGGCUAACUACGUGCCAGCAGCCGCGGUAAAACGUAGGAGACAAGCGUUAUCCGGAGUUACUGGGCGUAAAGGGCGUGCAGGUGGUUGAGUAAGUCUGUUGUGAAAGCGCCUGGCUUAACCGGGCGAGGCCAAUGGAGACUGCUGAACUGGAGGACGGUAGAGGGGUGUGGAAUUCCGGGUGUAGUGGUGAAAUGCGUAGAGAUCCGGAGGAACACCAGAGGCGAAGGCGGCACCCUAAGCCGUACCUGACACUGAGACGCGACAGCACGGGGAGCGAACGGGAUUAGAAACCCCAGUAG
rnacentral:rRNA from 1 species